rnacentral:rRNA from 1 species
GACGUAGGACACAAGCGUUAUCCGGAGUUACUGGGCGUAAAGGGCGUGCAGGCGGUUUCUUAAGUCAGGCGUGAAACCACCCGGCUAAACCGGGUGUAGUCGUCUGAGACUGGGAGACUUGAGUAUGGUAGAGGCGUGUAGAAUUCCGGGUGGAGUGGUGAAAUGCGUAGAGAUCCGGAGGAAUACCAGUGGCGAAGGCGGCACGCUGGGCCAUAACUGACGCUAAGACGCGAAAGCAUGGGGAGCGAACGGG